CUUUAAACAAUUUUCAGUGACUGUCUAUAUAGGGACAGCCUGUGUGAAUUCUCCAUCUGCUGCAGGAAAAACCUGAGUCACUUUUCUGAAAUAAAAUGUUAUUUAAUUUUUUGGGGGGUGUUGCCCAUAGGUCUCUCAUGAUUUUGCAAUCAACUUUAAUGAAGACAACCCAGAAUGUGCAGGGAUCCAAGGAGUGGUCGAAGCGUAUCAGAACUGCCUGCCUAAGCUCCAGCUCUAUGGGCCUACAAACAUUGCUCCCAUCAUUCAGAAGGUGGCUAAAUCAGCCUCAGAAGAAAGCAACAGUAAGGAGGCAUCGGUGAGAAUCAUAGCAGACUGGAAAGCUAAACUAGACCUUGGGUGUCAACUGCAUCCUCAAUAAUGCAUAACAGAUUAAUUGACCAUGAACACACUCUGACAACCCGUGUGUACUUGCUAUCCUAGGGAUGGUAAAGGGAUGAGUUUCCCCUACUUUUUCAGUGCACGUUUGGAGGGUUCAUUUUAGUUGGGGCACUUGGUCUGGAACCAAGAAGUGAUGGGGAUGGGGGGAAAGGGAAGCCAUUUCCACUUAAUUCAGUGAGUAUGGAAUAGUGUGCUCUUGUGUCUGUUAGUAACCAAACAAUUAAACCCCUGUGUUGCAAACAAUUAUCAGUAAUAUCCAAGGCAACACAAUGACCAAGUACAACAAUGCAAUAUCAAUAUAAACUCUUUAUAUAGUCUAUACAGAACAUUGAACAAAAUGAGAAAUCAAAUAAACAGAAAUCUUAUAAAUCUCUGAAAGUCACUAGAUGUGCACUCUUGAUGGAUUCUCUUGAAAACAUAGAAACCAAAUAAACAUAAGUCUUAUAAGUCUCUGAAAGUCUUUGUAGACAAUGCAAGUCUCUGAAAGAAGCAAUGUGUCCGAUUCUUAUCUGAUGAAAACAAGCCAUAAAGCUUUGUUUUAUGACGUCCAACGCUUCCGAAGUGGUCCGCAAACAGACGUAGUGAACAGUGAUUCCGGAUAUACCCACUGUUUCGUAGAAUUCUUCUUCAGCACAGCAGAAGGAUACGGAAAUGCUUCAUAAAAC
rnacentral:lncRNA from 1 species